UGGUUUGCUUCCUCUUAGUUGGUUUUAGGUUGUAUUGUUUGCUCUAAUUAAUAUAAUUACUUGCUUAGCUAGCAAAAAAAAAAAAAAGUCGGUUGGUCACAUGCUUUUAUCAUGACAUUAGCUACAUCAAUCACUGGACAUACGGGUCAUAAGUCGGUUUUUUAAAAUUUAUUUUUAAUACACGAUAUGAUUAUAAAAACUUGAAAUCAAUAACUACUAUUUAGAUCAUGAUUUUAGGAGAAACAUUCUAAAAUCUUAAAUUUAUAAACAAAGUACUCCCCCGCAUUUUAAUGUGUUUUUUGUUUCAUUUACGUAUUUAUAAAUGUAUAUAUCACGAUUAUAAGAUUUUUAAAGUUUAAAAUGUUGUAACAAAGAAUUUUUAUAUAUAUUAAAUAGUAUAAUUUUAUAUUUUAUAUUCUUUUAAUCUUAAAUAGAUGGUAUCUAACAAUUACGGAUUUAAUAUAUUUCGAAUAAAAACAACUACUUAAUAUACAAAAUAAUUAUCGUACAUUAUACACGCUAAAUCAAUUCUACAUAAAACUUCCCGUGCAUUUUUGCACGGGUGGAAAGCUAGUAUACGGAUAUACUUUGGAUCCCUUGUAAAACAACAAAGAUAUCUAGUAUAUCCCGGAUAAGAACAACCAAGAUUAGGGUUUACAGAUCUUUCUUAAUAUCCAUCACAUGUUCUACCAGUCCACCGCCUCCCUAAAUUUUCGUUAACAACUAUGCAAAUUAGGGUUUUCUAAUCUCAACCCUCAACUUUAUAUACAGCAUCACCUAACCCCUUUCUUCCUCAUCCUAAAACCCUCUUCUCUCUCUCUCUUCCUCUCAUCAAAAUAAAAAAUAAAAAAGCUCUGAAGCAAUGGCAAGAUGUUCAAUUGUUGGGUAUAAUUGUCUAGCAACGUUCCCAUUCUAUCAUCGAUACAUAUCGUUACUCGUCUGAGGAACUUUGCUUGACAAUUUUAUCCAACUAUUUAACAUACUGCAAUCAUCUAUUAUUCCACUAGUUUAUGAUUUCAAAGUUGCCGUCACAUCUAUUUCGAAUCUGCAAAGAUUGGAUAUUCGAUUAUUGCAUUUGAUAAGAUUGGUAUAAUUAUUCAAUUAUUCAUCUAUUCGUAACGUUUGUGUUUCUUUUCAGGUGGAUUGUAAUUUCAAUACAAUUAAUCUAAUAAUCUUACCCUGUUGAUCUGAUAAGAUGAGUUAUUUGCAGAUCAUAUUGAUAGAUCUGGAGUGGUCAAUUUAACUUGUAUAUUGACAGAAGUUAGGCAAAUGAUCGUGAGCUUUAUGGAUUUAAUUUAAAAUCUUGAUUCAAUUGAGAUUUCUAUUUGAUCAGUUAUUUACAGAGUGGAAGUGAAGUUUCUAAUCACAGUUUAAUUAUACUAUAAGACAGCUGAUUAGGUGGAUGCAGAUUAAUUUAAUUGAUACUUGACAGGAUUGAAGUGGAUAACUGUAUAUGAUAUACCAGAUCUGUCACUGUGUAUAUUUGACGCAAUGCACACGGGUUGGAUUUCUGUUUACGGGAAAAUUGUAUACGGCAUUUCUGUACUAUCGACUUUUUCUUCCUAUGUGUAAUGUGUAUGGUACUAUUUCAAAUACUUAUGUUAAGCCUUGUUUUGAAUUGAACGAGAAAGGUUUGGUAACCAACGGUUUGAGUCCAAAAAAACUCAAAACACCCAAAAUAAAACAUAAUGGUACCAUUAUAACUUGACAUUUGUAUCAAAUUGUUAUCAGGAUUGGUACCAGGGUAUCAAUAUUUUCGGAGAAUGGUACCAUUAUAACCUAGUAUUGGUAAUGGGUUGGUUUGGGUUGGGUCGGACAUGCUGUAUAUGAAUCGGGUCGGGUCGGUCGGAAGUUGUUAUAAUGGGUCAGGUCGGGUUAGACCAUGACCCUAUUUUAAAGUUAGAACUUAGAAUGAAUAUCGAUUUUUGUCAAAAUCUCACUAUAAUCUCAGCCAUUCUUGGCUGUUAAGGGUCCCCAUAUAACUAUGUUUUUCUAUUUUGAUAAACAAAAUGUAUAGCUUGCUUCUUUCAUAUUAUAAUGCCCAUUAACAUGUGAAUUAAUUGAGGUGGAGCAACUUUUCUCCCAACCAUACACUUCGGGUUUCGAUUCUCAAGUCACCAAUCCCCAAGUUGGGAUCUUUUUGCAAAAUUCCCCUCCUGACUGAAACUCCUACUUAUGUGUGUAUAUGAUAAAUCUUUUUGGAUUGGGUUCCCUUAUUUGUUAAGAGUUUGUGUCAAUUGCUGCCAAUCGAUUUCCAUCUAAAAUUUUUACUUAUUAUAAUUUGAUGUUGUAUGCUAUGCAUUGUGCAGUCGCAACGUUGCAGAUUUGCAGUCCAUGAAGCACAAAUUGGUUGAUCCUAAGAAGCAUAAAUGACCUUUUUUUACCCGACUCGACCCGCUAAUACGUUAUUAGGGUCAAGACCCUCUAUGACCCGAUCCUAUUUUAAUUGGGUCGGGUCAUGACCCUAUAAUAUAGGGUCGGGUCAAGGGCUUUUUUUGGGUACCCGACCUAUUGAACAGGUCUAAUGAGCAGUCAUCACGUCCAUUGAAUUUCCCCUCCAAAAAUGGGCAGUCUGCUUUCGACCGGUUUGACCGUCACAGGCCCCCUACUUAUGAUGGUGUUGCUGAUCCUGUAGCUUUAGAAAACUGGUUAAGGGAGAUGGAGAAGCUAUUCACGGCAACAAACUGCUCUGCUGCCGAAAUGGUACCGAUUGGGACGUACUAUUUGAAGAAAGAGGCGGAUAAUUGGUGGAGUACGGUGAAGGAUGUGUGUGGCUACAGCUGGAUUUGGUUGGACUCAGUUCUCCGCCAAGCUGAAAGAGAGAUUUUACCCUGAUGAGUUGCGCUGGCGAAAGCAGGAAGAAUUUCUAUCUCUGACUCAAGGGAGUAUGGACAUCCAGAAGUACACCGACCGCUUUACGGAGCUGUCUAAAUUUGCUGGUAUUGUCAUUCCCACCGAAGCUGAGAGGGUUAAGAGGUAUAUAAAGAAGAUGAAUUCGAGGGUAAGGACCUUGGUGCUGUGUUCGGGGGAUACUACUUUUCAAGCUGCUUAUGAGAUGACCCUUAGUGUUCAUGCUUCAGUGAGUUAAUUGUUAAAAUUAUCACAUUUUAUCACUCCUCAAAAGAAUAGGGCCUUAGUGACUUUCUUAGGCCAUUUACAAUAUGGACCAAAUAUUUCCACCAAACUUUAUGGCCCAAAUAUCUGGUGCACAUUUUGAUAGAUGAAUUCACUGACAAAAGAAAUUUGUUAAUGUUUUCUUUGGCAUAAAACAACUGAAUUAAUAGUAGUGAUAAUAAUACUUCCUCUGUCCCGAAAUAUAGUUUCCAUUUCUAUUUUGGGUGUCCUAAAAUAUAAUUUUUAUUUUCAUAUUUAGUUUCACAUUUUUCCGUAUCUUGUCUGGAAAACCGUAUUAUUCUCCCUUCUCUCUCCUAAAAUUAUCUUUUCCAUACAACAUUUAUUUAAAUAAACAAAAAAUCUUUACUAUCCUUCUUAGAUUCUACUUGCAUAGAUUAAUACCGUGAAAAAUGGGAACUAUAUUUUGGGACAGAGAAAGUAUAAUAUAAUACUAUUUAAUUUUAAUAAUGAUUUAUUAAUAAUAAUAAGUUAUUAAAUAAAAUAAUAAUAAAUUAUUGUGAGAUAGAUGGAGUAGUCCGUAAUAAACAGAUAAACUAAUAACUUGACGAACAAAAUUAGAAUAUCGAAAUAUAUAUUAUAUUUUAUCACCCAACGGCCAACGCUUAAAAAGAAUGUUACAAAUUUAAUAGGAUGUGUACAUUAUUUUUAACAAUUUUUUGUUCAAAAAAAAAAUAAAUAUUAACUACAUACUUGCAAUGCUAAAGCUAAAUUAAAUACUUAUAACUUUUAGAUUUUGCGCAUUUCACCACAACAUGUUCUUUAAAUUAAAUAUUAUCUCUCUUCCUCAUUUUUUUUCAAUAAAGAGCGUCAAGCGGCAUUAUAGUUUCUUCAUCCCCAACCAAGGUAAUAGUUUGCUCCCUCCAAUUUCACGUCUUGAAAAUUUCGAUGUUUUUUUACUAUAAUUUUCCAAAUAGUUCAAAAACUUUCCUUUUUUUAAAAAAACCUUUUUUCUUUGUCGUUGAUCGGUUGUUUUGAUAUUAUUAGAUUUUUGAUUUUUCUACAAUCAUGCGUCUUUACGCUUUAUUUUAGUUUAGAUUUUGGACUCGGAAAAAUAAUCCUAAUCAAAUAAGUAUUAGGUUAUUUUUUUUUCUUUCACCAAAAAUAUAAAUAGACACACGUUAUUUUCAACCUACACAUUAGCACACGUCCCUUUAUCGAAUCAAGGUAUACCACCGUCUCGUUAUUUUUUCUUGGACAUUAUUUUCUUGUGUUGAUACUCUGAUCACAAAUAAGUACAUGCACCCAAGUGCAUGUAGAGCAUGAUGCACCCUUUUUUAAACUACGUCGUUUUAUCAUUUUUAGAGUCUGUAAUUUUAAAAAUUAUUGUUAUUUGUUUCCUUAAAUUUUGCAACUAAAGAUUCUUUUUUCAAAUUUAAAUUUAAAGGGUAUAUGUUCUUUUACCUUUAGUGUAGAUGUUCAUUUACUAUAUGUUCUUUUCAUUAUAACCUUUGUUCUUUUAUAAAUAUAAAUUUACACAUUCUUUAAUUUUAACUCGUGUGUUCUUUUUUAAAGUAAAAAAAUUAUUGAAAAAAGUUCGUGUUCUUUUAUAUAAAUGAUAUGUUCUUUUUGGGUGCACAAUGAGCAUUGUGCACCCUGGUGCAUGAUCCACGCUUUGCUAUCUGAUAGUGAUGAAGUGUCGAUUAUUUUUUUUGAUUUGCCGAUGAUGUUUAUGUGGGUUUUAUGGCUGGGUAAAAGUAAUAUGUAUAUUCGAAUGAUUGUUUUCAUCUCGCCAUACUCAUGAUCUCCAUUCUCCUGUACCUUUUGAUGCUUCUGCCUUCAUCGUCAUCGUCAUCAUCAUCAUCCCUUCCAGAUGUAGUUUCCUCCUCCUCAUCAUCAUCAUUAUUUUUUUCUUCGGUGGAUUUUCAUCCACUUUUUCAUCAGCUUCCUCUAUUUUACGGGGUCUAAUUUUUUGGUUUAUGAUUUUUGGUUGGGUUUAAGGAUUUUAAAGAGAGAGAAAGAAAGGAGGUUAGGAAGAUGGCUGGUGUUUUUGUUUCAUCAGUUUCCUAUCAAUGACAACCACACUCUUUCUCUUCCCUUCUCUUAAUUCCCACAACAACCACUUCACUUUUUAACACAAACCCUCUCCCAAAUUAAAGCUUCAAUCUUUCUCUCUAUCUUCUCAAAAAAAUCCAAUUUUUCCAACUUUAACACCCCAUUUACUUCUUUCUCCACAUCUCACUCAUCUGACCAUCCUUCAUCUUCAAUUGACUAUAAUACCCAAAACCCACCAAGAAUUGGGUGUUUUUUUAACCAAUCGAGAACUCCAAAAGCUUGAAUUCGUUGAGAAUUUCACUUAUUCUUGUAUUAGGGUAAUUGAAUAAUCUGUUUAUUCCAUGGCGGGACUUUCUUUUUCGACUCGAAUUCGGACUCGACCUGUUGUUCUUCUUCCAUUGUUUUCCUCUGUAUAUCUCUCCCUGCAAUCCUUCCCCCAUGAAUUUUUGGAUACAUAAAGCUUAUGAUGGGGAAUAUUUUUUUCUAUAGUGGAAACUUAAGCUGUACUUUCUUGGUUUUCUGGGUGAUCCUGAUCAAAUUUGCUCGACAAUUCUCAUGCUUUUAUUUUGUUAUGAAAAUUUAUAGUGAAAUGAUUGUCAUUUCUCGUCUUUUUUUUACUAUCUGGGUAUUUGAGUAUUAGGGUAAUGAUGGACUUUGAAUUGGAUAUAACUAUUGAGUGUUGAAUGCUUAUUCGAUUUUGAUUUCAUGAAAAUGUUAGUAACGUUUAUGAUUUUGUGGAUUUGGAACUUGGGUGUGAAGGAGUUUAUAGUGUGCAAUUUGGUAGAAAUUUGGUUACUGUGUAUGUAGCUAUAUUAUAUCUAUUUUAUAUAUUUUUGUUUGGUGUGAA